rnacentral:rRNA from 1 species
AUUGAACGCUGGCGGCAGGCCUAACACAUGCAAGUCGAACGGUAACAGAAAGCAGCUUGCUGCUUUGCUGACGAGUGGCGGACGGGUGAGUAAUGUCUGGGAAACUGCCUGAUGGAGGGGGAUAACUACUGGAAACGGUAGCUAAUACCGCAUAACGUCGCAAGACCAAAGAGGGGGACCUUCGGGCCUCUUGCCAUCGGAUGUGCCCAGAUGGGAUUAGCUAGUAGGUGGGGUAACGGCUCACCUAGGCGACGAUCCCUAGCUGGUCUGAGAGGAUGACCAGCCACACUGGAACUGAGACACGGUCCAGACUCCUACGGGAGGCAGCAGUGGGGAAUAUAGCACAAUGGGCGCAAGCCUGAUGCAGCCAUGCCGCGUGUAUGAAGAAGGCCUUCGGGUUGUAAAGUACUUUCAGCGAGGAGGAAGGUGUUGUGGUUAAUAACCACAGCAAUUGACGUUACUCGCAGAAGAAGCACCGGCUAACUCCGUGCCAGCAGCCGCCGUAA